ACCAAGUGAUGCUCUUGAAAGGAGUGAAAGAAGAGGAUGUGGUAAAUUGUCUUCAGAGAAAAAGCUUCUCAAAAGAUCUUAAAACAGCUUGAAGAAUGGUCUGGGAUCUUAGGACUGGGAGAUCUCACUUGCACCCAGUUAACCUCCAUAGAGAACAUUUAUCAGAAGCGCUGUCUGGGUAGGGCAAGAAACAUCAUCAAGGAUGCCUCUCACCUUAACCAUGGACUUUUCACCCUCCUUCCAUCCGGCAGGCGUUACAGGAGCCUACGCUCUCGAACUAGUACCUGCUCUUUUACUGCACUGGUCACAGUACUUUACAUACAUGUAUUGCACUACUCAUAUUUUGCACAGACUGCACAUGGUUAAAUCCAUUACACUAUAAACUGUCUAAAGCUGUUACUGUACAAGCACAGUAAACUAUUUCUACAAUAAAUAUAAUUGCACUACUAUUAUUUUGCAUAUAAUAAAUUGUUAAACUAUACUUUUGCACACUCAUUCAACUGUAUUUAUUACCACUGUUCUCAAGUUCCUGCUAUUCAUAAUGUAUAUAUAAUUCUUCUUUGCUCUGUUCAUAAUGUACAUACAAUCCCUACAUUAAAUUCAUAUUUAUAUUCUGUAUAUACUCUGGUCAAUAUUGUAUAUAGCAACUCCACUGUAAAUUCUGUAUAUCAUAGCUUUACUUACUCUGCACUUUUAUGUAUAUAAAACACUGUAUUCUUGCACUUCUGGUUAGAUGCUAACUGCAUUUCAUUAGCUCUGUACUUGUACUCUGCAUAAUGACAAUAAAGUUGAAUCUAAUCUAAUCUAAUCUAAUCUAAUCUUCUGGCUGAGAACAAGCUACACCACAUCAGUGCUGGAUAUCAACCAAAAGCUGUUUCCAGACACGAGAGAAGAUCACGAUGAAACCAGUUUAGAUGUGUUGAUAAGGAAUCAUUAUUUUCUGAAACAGUAUCAAAUGUCUUAUAUGUAUCACAUGAUCUGUAUCACAGUUGACUGGAUGGGACUGUGACUUUUAAGGACAUUUCAUCACUCAUCUGUGUGAACUGAUUAAUAUAUGAGGUUAAUGUAUUUUUGAUUAUGAAUAAUUAUUUUCCUUGAAUCUUAUUUGUCUUGAUGCUACUUUAUCAUCUUUAUAGUCUAUGCUUCAAUAAAAUGAAUAUGACGAA